rnacentral:rRNA from 1 species
UGGGGAAUUUUGGACAAUGGGCGAAAGCCUGAUCCAGCAAUGCCGCGUGUGUGAAGAAGGCCUUCGGGUUGUAAAGCACUUUUGUCCGGAAAGAAAUCCUUGGCUCUAAUACAGUCGGGGGAUGACGGUACCGGAAGAAUAAGCACCGGCUAACUACGUGCCAGCAGCCGCGGUAAUACGUAGGGUGCAAGCGUUAAUCGGAAUUACUGGGCGUAAAGCGUGCGCAGGCGGUUUGCUAAGACCGAUGUGAAAUCCCCGGGCUCAACCUGGGAACUGCAUUGGUGACUGGCAGGCUAGAGUAUGGCAGAGGGGGGUAGAAUUCCACGUGUAGCAGUGAAAUGCGUAGAGAUGUGGAGGAAUACCGAUGGCGAAGGCAGCCCCCUGGGCCAAUACUGACGCUCAUGCACGAAAGCGUGGGGAGCAAAACAGGAUUAGAUACCCUGGUAGUCACGCCCUAAACGAUGUCAACUAGUUGUUGGGGAUUCAUUUCCUUAGUAACGUAGCUAACGCGUGAAGUUGACCGCCUGGGGAGUACGGUCGCAAGAUUAAAACUUAAAUGAAUUG